AAAGUGUUUGUUGCCACAUCUUCUGGGUCCAUAGCGGUAGGUGUCUGGGGCUCUGUGGGCUUUCUUCCUAUGUGUUUUUCUGGAUAACUCCUGGUUGGAGGCAGAAGGAGUGGGUAUGCCCCGGCUUUUGGCCUUGAAUGCUGUUUUUGUUUUUGUGUGGGAGUCAACUGCACACUGCGGUGAGCAUGAGCGCCCUGCGCUUUUUUGCCUCUGUCUUCGUGAUGUUGGAAAAAGUAUGUGAGUGUGUAAUCUGGCAGGUUGGCGUGAAAGGUGACUGGACGGGGGGAGUGUUUCAUGCUCCUUUUAACCGGUGUUUUGUGCGCUGUUGGUAGUGCUGUGUAGUUUUAGCCAUUUGGAAUUUUUAGUGCUUUAUCAUUCAUUCUGUAAGACGCAGGCUAAAUCUUGGAGACAGAUGACGGGUCAGGGAGAGAUGAAUCAGAUCGUCCAAACGACCUCGGGGCACAAUUACUCCUAUAUUUGAAAUAGCUGGAAACAUUAGAAGAUAGUAGGUAUGAGCUUAUUAUUUGUAGAAAAUGAUGUCACAAUGACAGCAGCAAACCCAUCUGAGGCCCACAGUUUUAAAUGCUCUCCUAUGUGAGGGCACCUAGAGUGUGAGCUAAAAGCCCAGCUCCAUAUGGCUUAGCUCGGAUUGCUUGAGACCACCCACUCUCUGAUUCCAGCCUGCAUUUAUGUAGACCCGCUGGUAGAAGAAAUAAGAGCAAUUUAGAGACUCAGUUCUAGGUCUAGGAAUGAAUUGUAGGAGACUGGCUUCAGGUGGACUCUAGUGUCUGUCUUGUGAAGGUUCUAGUCAGUACUUAGCAGAAAUGAGGAAGGCUGUGGGAAGAAAACAGUCUAUUAAUUCCAAGAGUUAGAGACCAGAGAGGGGGCUGUUUCCUUUAAUAGCUGUUCCGAAGGGUCUCAGGUUGCGGCUGGAAUUCUGACAGUCACUCCGCAGAGAUGUUUCCAGGCCCUGGCUAAGUACCAGCCCCAACCACAAUUUGCUGAAGGCCACUACACCCAACCGCGGACAAUCAGGAGGAUCUUCAGAGAAGGCAGGCAGAAAAUAAAAGAGUUUGGCAACCCC
rnacentral:lncRNA from 1 species